rnacentral:lncRNA from 1 species
AUUAGACUCUUUCUCAAACACAAUAUAUACCUCGUCGAGUUCAAAAGAUGAUCUCUAUACGAAUAGCAACACGGACUAAAUACCCUGUCAAAGCCAGGGAACUUACGCCAAAGAGUCUUGAAAAAUGAUGAAGUCUUAAACUUAGUUAUAAUGGAGAAGUUGAUGAAAUUUGCACCUUCUACACUCUUGUAAGUCCUCUAAUUUAGUGUUUUCAGUUCUCUAAGUUUCUUUGAAGUACAUCAUCUUUAAUUCAUUGCUUUAGGCAGCAUUUUGUUUCAAUUUAUAAACUCUAGGUUAUGGUGGUAUGGGCUUAGCCGAAAUGAUCCAAAUCUAAGAUAAUAUAUCCACUGGUCAGUAUAUAUAAUUUUCUUGCUCAUGAAUUUCCUUGUUUUCUCUAUUUGUGUACUUGGAAUAGAGAACCGUUGCAUGAUAAUAUUGUAUUCUUUUUCCUCAACUGUUCUGUAUGCUUUUUCUUGAAGUAACUCUUACCUUAGAGAAACUACUAAAAGAAGCAAUAACCCUUUGACUUGGAAGAGAGAUGAUGUAACAUUCUUGCAUAUCUUAAUCAGGUUUUCUUAGUUUAUGUUAAUGGUGUGGGUUGCACGCAUCUCUAUUACUACUCGAUACCUGUUAUAUCUCACCAAUCAGCAUGGACACUAAUCGAGUAACUCUAUCCGAAGCUUAAGCACAAGGAGAGUAAUCACCUACCAAUUUUUAUUUUUGCUAGGAUUUAGACUCUGAAUGAUUUCUCAUUAUUGACCGUUAAGCCACGUUCUUAAGUGCUAAAUUUUAAUUAGCUAAAACCUUGAGUGUUGAAUGAUUUUGGGCUAACUACUAACGUUUCAAUGUUUUUUAUUGGGAAAAAGAUAAGGCUACGAAUUGCAGAUGAGUAAAAUAUACACGGGCACAUUAAGUGCCUUGGCAUCGGGUGCAUUCGAACCCAAUAUAUUUGACGCAAAAUAUUAAUUCUUAUGUAAAAACCUACAAAAAUUUUAAUAAAUAUAAGAUCUAAACUCAUAAUUUUAAAAGUACAAUGAGUUUCGUACUAAGAAGGCCGAAUCAAUCAAAUUAUAAUUAUGAAUCCGCAUCUGAAUUUAUGUACCAAAAUUAAUGUAAAAUGCUUAGAGAAUUUUAAGCAUAUAUCUGGUUCAUAUAUAUCUGCAUAAUCUGGUUCAUUGGUUGACCAGUAGUGAUAUCAUUGGUUUGAGCUUGUCCAGUAGUCGCUGCUGAAUUUUAAGGAAUCAUUUUAGAUUGGUACUGCUCCAACCUAAUGCCAAAAGAUUGUGGGGUGCCCUAUAACUUUGCAGUUUUUAUCUAUGAAAAGUUACUGAGCAGACGUUACCUUUGGUUUGUGUGUGUUUGGGGGGGGGGGGUUAACCUUUUGUUAUACUAAAGAAUUAAUGAAAGUAAUUGGUUUUUUUAUUCAUUAAAAUGUUCAUGAAAAUAAUAAAAUAGGAUUGACGGGUUGACCCAAAAAAUAGAUUUUUUUCCGUUUUGAUUAUUUAAUAUCUGAAAUUCAUUGAUCCAAUUAAUUUAGUUUUGCAUCAAUUAGACAUACGCAAAAUACUCCCUAAUAAAAGAUUCUCCAUUCACGAAACAGGAACAUGGAAACUUCUAAAUAAUGAAAGGAUUGUUAUGUAGGGAUUAAUUAUUUGAAUUCCUUUAUUUAGUUACUCUUUUUUAUGUAUAGCUAAUACAUAUAUUUUUAUUUCACAUUUUAUCCCUCACAAAAUAAUACGCAUAUUUCAAUAUACUUUAUGUGGGAUAUUGACAGUUUGGGACUUAAUAAAGACAGCCAAAUGCUGUAUUAAAUUAUGCAAUUUUUUUUUUUUUUUACAAUUAACCAUACAUGGAAUUAUGCAAAAUUUAUGUUGGAAUAUAUUUUUUGUUAGUGUGGUAAACCAAAAGACUUUAGGGUCGUUUGGUUGGAAAAUAAGUUAUCUCAUGAUUAAUUAUAUCGGAAUUAAUUAUUUUGGAAUUAGUUAUCUCACCCUCCCAUAAGGAUAAAUAAUACUAUCAUCCCGGAAUAACUAAUCUUGAAAUUAGUUAUACCACAAUUUUAUGCCAACUAAAUAUAAAAAUAAAUUCAUCUCAAAUUUAAUUUUGAGAUUAAUUAUUCAUUAUGGCCAGUACUUUGUUAAUGUAUAUAUGCUUUCAGUGGACCAUGGACUUGUUGGUACGGAUAUUCGAGCAAGCACAAAGAUUUAGUGAGUUCUCUUUCUUUAGGAAUUAUCAUCUUUUCAUAAAUUUUGUCGAUUUGUUUUUAUCUUCAAAAGUCAGCUCCAAAUUCUUAUACUUAUCGGAGCAUAUACAUUUUUCACAUCUUUCUUGUACGACACAAGGAAUCUUUAUAGGAAAAAAGAAGAAAAGUAUGGCAGUUGGUUAAGAAUAUAUGCUUUUGGUAAGCAUUACAACUCUACGAAUUAUUUUAAGAUUUGACUUAUAUAUAUUGUCAGCUUAAAUUUUUUUUACAUUAUUACAAGUCGUCUGUUAGAACGUAUAAGAACAAUACUGAAUAGGAUGAAUGAUAAUGCUGAGAUUAGUAACACUGAGAUUGAUUAUGAUGGAAUUAGUUAUACUGAGAUUAUUUCUUAUCGACUGUUCGGUUUGGUGUAUUAAAGGUAUUGAAAGGGUAAUUCUAUCUUUAUAUAUGCUUAUCCAUGUAUUAAAAAAACUAUAGUAUUGCUAAUGAUUUGCUAUGUAUAAAAAUAAUACUAAAUAUGAUGUAUAACUAAUGCAAGUAUUAAUUAUAUAUUAGUUGAAAAACACUAUCAAAAAAUGAAUUAAUAAUACCGAAGUUAAUAUAUGUAUUAUUUUUCCUAAUAUAUUCUAUCAAACAACCCCUUAAUGUAUUUUAACUAGUUGUAGCAGGUACCUUAUUCUUCAUACUGCUAAUCAACUCACUUAUUAUGAAAAAAUAUUUAUAGUUAGUAUCUUUUAAGUGACCUAAUAAUAUAAAAAAAUAUGAUUAGUAUAUAAAAAUUAAACUUCUUAAACAACUAACAAAAUUUCAGCUGCCAUAGACAAGAAAACGACAUUGAUUCUAUUGUGAACCUAGUCCUAAUAAUCUAAGAAUAUAAAGGUUUGAAAAUAUCAUAAUCAUGGACCAUAUUGAAGUAGCAUUCUUCACAAGAGACACAGAAAAUUCUCAUCCGAAACUUUUACCUUAAUAGUGAAACCAACCCACAAAUAUAUUGUUCUCAUACUUUACAUUGGAUUCCCCAUUACAACUUUGCAUAAUUAUUUAGGAAUCCAGCAGUCAAUGUUGCAAUCAUGUGACUAUACUAUGAACCACUUGUAUUUUGCUAUCAUGUGAUGGUCCAAUAUCUCAUAAAAAUUGCUAUCAUGUGAUGGUCCAAUAUCUCAUAAAAUUAAUACUCUCCCUGUUUCAAAUUAGACGAGAUACUUUCAUUUUUAGUCCGUUUCAAAAUAAAUGAAAUAUUUUUAAAUUUGGAAAUAAUUUAACUUUAAACUCUUUAUUUUACCCAUUUUACCCUUAAUGAGAAGCUUUUGUAACCACACAAAUGACAUGACCCCACAAAGCUUUUACCCCCUUAAACUUUUAAGAUCACAAGUUUUAAAAGUCCUUUUUUUUCUUAAACUCUGUGCCGAGUCAAACUAUCUCAUCUAAAUUAAAACAGAGGGAGUAUUCAGUAAAACCUUUAGCGAUGCCGGAUACUAUAGCAAAUACUCAAUUGCUGGUAAAGGUUUUUGCAAUAACAUUUUUUGGCCGUUAAGACCAUUUUUUGUUGUAAUGUGUGAGUAUUAUUCUUUUUUUUUUUUUCAUGUUUUCCUCUUAAUUUUUUUUUUUUUGUAUUUUACUAAAUCCCUGAUUAGGCAUACAUAAUAUUUCAGCAUUAGCAAGUACUGAGAAAACUUCUUGGAGAGAGAGCAAAGCUUUAGUAAUGAAUGGAACAUGUAGAGUACUAUUUAAUGUGAACAUUUUGUGAGAAGAAGGGAGAAGAAUUGUACCAAUUAUGUGUCAUAUGGUUAAAACUGCUAAAAACAAUUUCGCUAGGAAACUCAUCACUAAUUUUAUCGCUUAAUAAUUCGUAACUAAUAGAUUUUUUUUUAUAGUUCGACACUAAUUCGCUGUGAAAUCAACGAAUUUUGCUAUUUAGCGGCAAAAUUUGUCUGUCACUAAUUAUUGUUUAUUUUUGUUUAGUGAGCAAUAUUUCCAUUACCUGCAAGUAAUUGAUCAGUGCCCUUGUAUUCUUCAACUUGUUUCUUCCCUAACUUUUUAAUCUUUCACUCUCUCAUUUCUCCCAGGCGAUUCUCAUAUGUUUUGAUCAAUUACUUUGCAGCGUAGGUAUUUCAAGCACAAUAAUUUCUCAAGUCUUAUUCGCCAGGUAUGUGUGUAUUCAUGUAAGUAUUUUCACUACAAACUCAUAUCUAAUUUUGGUAUCCUUGUCUAGAUUAUGAGUACAUGUUAACUUUAUGUAUACGGUCGAAAUAGAUUUCGGCCUUCGCACGUCCGAUCGAGUUCGAACGAUAGUCGAUCGAACUGAGACUCCAAAGAUGGAACAAACAAGCCUCGAACCCGAGGGGCCGAUCCAUGUCGAGUUGGAUAUCGUUUCGAGCGCUAGUCCAAAUCGAACUAUGACACAGAGUAAAGCUAUCAUCCAGAGACCAACCAACAUUGACCCCGAAUCAAUUUGAGAGCUCGAGCCAAGAUCGAGAAUUCGAGUCAGAAUCGAGCUCAAACCAAGAUCGAAGGCUCAAGGCAAGAUCGAGCUCCCAGCUGUUACAAUCCCACUAGCGAGAAUCUUGGUAGAAAUUGUGGAAAAGCUGGUUUAUCAUGGGUCUUCCACUGAGUAUUUUUUAUUCUCUCUAUUAUAAAGGGCAUGGUUAUCAUUUAUAAAAGACAAGUUUUUUUGAGGCUUAUAUUGUAAUAAAAAUGCUAUAUUCUUCCACAGUAAAGAAUUGUUCUUUCA